rnacentral:antisense_RNA from 1 species
AGAAGCAGGAAUAAAAUGAUCCUUUUCUAUUUCCAUGAUUUUUUAUGUUUUUAUUUAAAUGGUUAAAUACCCAAUUAGGUUAGAUGCUAAUUAAAUGUAAAAUUACUGGGCUGUUCCAAUAUGCAUGUUAAAGUUGUACUUCUUGGUUGUUUGUAAUUUACCUAACUCUUGAGAGAUCAUCAGAGCAGCCCAGCUGAGUUUAAAGAAGGCUUCCAACUGCCCAGGAUAUGCAUCAGUUCCUGAACAAAUAAAGAACACCCCAGGAUCAACAGAAGCUACUAUCAAAUCCUUCAAACACUACAUGCACCACAUGCUCACAUUUGUCCUGUUUUUGCUACUAUUUAUCCACAAAAAAGCCAAGCCUGAACUCCUUCUUGAGGCCAAAACUUAAAAAUAUACCAAAUGAAUCAGUUCAAAAUUUUACAAAUUUGGUUUGGCUUAAUCAUAACUGAUUCUUCAUACUACUGACACCAUUGAUUCUUCACACUGUAGAUACCACUCACUAAAAUUACAACUCAGUCACCUCUUCCCAUAUACCAUAUUUCAUUAAAAUCAAUGUAAGAUAACAAAUGGUUACCAGAUGCCAUCGUUUCAGACCAAACCAUAUGUCAAAUUUUGAAUAAAUCUAACAACACCUGAUUGGUUAAGUAGCACACCUAGAUUUAUUAAAAUCACUAUACUCCUUUAAUGUCUGUAGGAGAACAUGCAUGCACAAGCACACACACACACAUUGUGUGUGCAUUAUAUAUAUAUAUAUAUGCUACUGCAAAGUUGAAAAGAGACUUUACCAAGUUCUGUCAUUGACAGGGACAUUAUAUAUAAAGAAUAUACAUAUUGUAAUUCACCUCAUCAAGAGUUAAUUUUAUGGCCGGGCACAGUGGCUCACACCUGUAAUCCUAACACUUUGGGAGGCAGAUCACUUUGAGCUCAGGAGAUUUGAGACCAGCCUGGGCAACGUGGCAAAAACCCAUCUCUACAAAAAAAUAUAAAAAUGAGCUGGGCGUGGUGACUCCCGCCUGUAGUCCCAGCUGUAUACAUGGGAGGCUGAGGCUGGAGGAUUGCUUGAGCCAGCUAGCAGAGGUUGCAGUGAGCCAAGAUUGUACCACUGCACUCUGGCCUGGGUUACAGAGCAAGACCUUGUCUCAAAAAAAAAAGAGUUAAUUGUACCAGGAACAUGUGGUGUCAAAAUUUAAAAUAUGUGAACUCUUUGACCCAGCAAUGCUAUUUUCAGGGAUAUAUCCUAAGAUCGUCACCAGUAAAGUAUAUAAAGAUGUGCAUGCAAGAAUAUUCAUCAUAGCUUUCUUUAUACAAUGAAAAAUUGGAAAUAAACUUCUCAUUAAUGGGAUGCUGGUUAAAGAAAAUCAUUAAUGUAAUAUGCAGCCAUCUAAAAGGAUAAUUUAUAUGUAUAUAUAUUUACAUAAGAAAACCCUCAUGUCAUAUUGCUGAGUAAAAAGAAAGAUGUCAAUGAGUAUUCAUGAUGUGAUUCUAUUUAUCCUUGCAAAUGGCGGAAAUUCAAUUAUAUGGUAUUUUCUCUCUUUUCUAUUUGUUUUUCAUAUAUGUAUAUAUUUCCUUUGAAAUCAGAAAAAAAAUCAAGCUAUUUUCAUCAGAGGAAAAAAAUCAUUACUCUGUAUUUCAGUCACACUAAAAUAGUCACCCAAGAA